rnacentral:rRNA from 1 species
UACGGGGGGGGCAAGCGUUGUUCGGAAUUACUGGGCGUAAAGGGCUCGUAGGCGGCCAACUAAGUCAGACGUGAAAUCCCUCGGCUUAACCGGGGAACUGCGUCUGAUACUGGAUGGCUAGAGUGUGGGAGAGGGAUGCGGAAUUCCAGGUGUAGCGGUGAAAUGCGUAGAUAUCUGGAGGAACACCGGUGGCGAAGGCGGCCCGCUGGGCUAUUUCUGACACUGAUGCGCGACAGCGUGGGGAGCAAACAGG